UGCAAAAAAAAAUCGACUUUUUUAAAAUUCUAACUGCGUAUAACCCCUUAAGUAACCUGAUCUAUCUAAAGAAACAAGGAACAGGGGAAACUCAACGAAUCGAUGCACGAGCGAUGAAGGCAAUCAGCGUUCAGCGAUGAAUAAGCGAGGGCUCAGCCGGGAUUGAGAAGCUAUAGUCUGCGAAGUGUAGGAUUGCGGAAAAACAACAGCGAACACUGCGAUAGCGAGUUUUGUGUGACUUCUUGCGAUAGCGAAGAAUUAGCGUUAAACAGCGUAACAGAGAGACUUGUGUGCAAAAGAGCGUGAAAUAGAAGAAACAAAAGGAAUCAUGAGCGACGUACGUAAAGCGCCUUCGGAAUUUUUGGUAUCAGAAUUGAAGGAGAAGUUGGCGGCAUUGGGACUUGCCACGACUGGUGUUAAAAGCGAAUUGAUAGCCCGCCUUAUGGAAGCUGAUUCAACGGGUAAUUGACUGACAGGAGACAGUAUUGCGAGGAGUGAUAUAGAAGAAACGCGGAACACAACCGUAGCCUCGGUGAGUGAGGGUAUAGAUGAGCUUGCGCUUCUAAAACGAGAGAUGGAAAUCUUUCGAAGAGAGAAAGAAAUAGCGGAAAGAAAAGUAGAAUUAGCACGUAAGGAGAUUGAGAUCCUGCGAAGAACAGAACAAGUCCUGCUAUUGGUCAAUCAUACGUGUUAGAAGAGGAGCACCUGCACAAUCGGAGAUAAAUAAAUUAUCAUUAAAAGCCGUUACCGAACUGAUCGAGUAUUUUGAAGGGGAGGCAGAUGAAUUUGUAAUAUGGGAAGACCACGUAAACUACCUGCGAGACAUUUAUCGUUUGACCGAAGACCAAGCAAAAGUGAUGAUCGUGCAGCGUUUAAAGGGGCGAGCGUGUUAGAGUGGUUCAGAUCGCGAAGAGAAUACCUGCAUCUCACAGUAGAUGAACUUUUAUCUGAGUUGCGAAAAAUGUUUCAUCAACGAAUCAGCAAGAUGACCUUGCGAACGGGGUUCCAAGAACGUGUUUGGAAGCGUGACGAGACCUUCAGUGACUACUUCCAUGAAAAGAUUAUUUUAGCAAAUCGGAUAGAGAUCGAUGAGGAAGAAAUGAUUGAAUGUAUCAUCACUGGAAUACCGGACCAAUCGCUACGAGAUCAGGCAAGAAUGCAUGGUCAUAAAAAGAAGGAAUCCCUUCUGACUUCGUUCGAGCAUAUAUCGUUGCAAGGACGCUCGUAGCAAACGAAGAUGGACAGCUCGACGACGCGUCGAGGCAACAUAGGCGUAAGCGUUAGAGAAAGGAUAAGUAGCGUAUCAAAGAACCGUUUGAGGUGUCAAAAUUGUGGCGCAAUAAGUUAUUCUAGCGAGGAAUGUUCAUAUAAUAGUAGAGGCCCGAAAUGCUUCGAAUGUAGAGAGUUUGGUCAUAUCGCGAUGAAUUGUCCUAAAAAGCGUGCUAUUAACCAAAAUUCGGACCGCGGCACCGACUUUACUACGUGUGAAUUUGAGGAAUUUCAAAAGGAUCGCGAUAAACUCAGAGAUAUACUGUUCGAGACCAGUUGCGGAAGGUGCAGAGAGAAAAUAUGUGUGGUUGUCUAAACUUUAUGUACUAUCAUAAGAAAAGGAAACGAUUUUUACCAGCAAUCCUCUGGAAGACAUACUUAAAAAAUACUGUAUUGCAAUUUUAUAUAGAUAUUUGUUUUGUACUAAUAAAGAAGGAAGCACGUGAACUUA
rnacentral:lncRNA from 1 species